rnacentral:rRNA from 1 species
UGGGGGAUAUUGCACAAUGGGCGAAAGCCUGAUGCAGCGACGCCGCGUGAGGGAAGACGGUCUUCGGAUUGUAAACCUCUGUCUUUGGGGAAGAAAAUGACGGUACCCAAAGAGGAAGCUCCGGCUAACUACGUGCCAGCAGCCGCGGUAAUACGUAGGGAGCAAGCGUUGUCCGGAAUUACUGGGUGUAAAGGGAGCGUAGGCGGGAUGGCAAGUAGAAUGUUAAAUCCAUCGGCUCAACCGGUGGCUGCGUUCUAAACUGCCGUUCUUGAGUGAAGUAGAGGCAGGCGGAAUUCCUAGUGUAGCGGUGAAAUGCGUAGAUAUUAGGAGGAACACCAGUGGCGAAGGCGGCCUGCUGGGCUUUAACUGACGCUGAGGCUCGAAAGCGUGGGGAGCAAAC